rnacentral:rRNA from 1 species
CCGGCCCAGACUCCUACGGGAGGCAGCAGUGGGGAAUCUUGCGCAAUGGCCGAAAGGCUGACGCAGCGACGCCGCGUGUGGGAUGAAGCAUUUCGGUGUGUAAACCACUGUUGCCCGGGACGAACAGCCUUUUUCGAGAGGCCUGACGGUACCGGGUGAGGAAGCACCGGCUAACUCCGUGCCAGCAGCCGCGGUAAUACGGAGGGUGCGAGCGUUGUCCGGAAUCACUGGGCGUAAAGGGCGCGUAGGUGGCGCGACAAGUCAACGGUGAAAGCUCGGGGCUCAACCCCGAGUCGGCCGUCGAUACUGUUGGGCUUGAGCACUGUAGAGGCAGGUGGAAUUCCGGGUGUAGCGGUGGAAUGCGUAGAGAUCCGGAAGAACACCGGUGGCGAAGGCGGCCUGCUGGGCAGUAGCUGACACUGAGGCGCGACAGCGUGGGGAGCAAACAGGAUUAGAUACCCUGGUAGUCCACGCCGUAAACGAUGGGUACUAGAUGCUUGGGGGAGCGACCCUCUGAGUGUCGGCGCUAACGCAUUAAGUACCCCGCCUGGGGAGUACGGCCGCAAGGCUGAAACUCAAAGGAAUUGACGGGGGCCCGCACAAGCGGUGGAGCAUGUGGUUUAAUUCGACGCAACGCGAAGAACCUUACCUAGGCUUGACAUGCAUGGGAAACCUCUGAGAAACCAGAGGCCCUCUUCGGAGUCCAUGCACAGUUGCUACAUGGCUGUCGUCAGCUCGUGUCGUGAGAUGUUGGGUUAAGUCCCGCAACGAGCGCAACCCCCGUUUCUAGUUGCCAGCGAGUAAAGUCGGGGACUCUAGAAAGACUGCCGGUGCCAAACCGGAGGAAGGUGGGGAUGACGUCAAGUCAUCAUGUCCUUACGUCUAGGGCUACACACGUGCUACAAUGGCCGGUACAGCGGGUUGCGAGCUAGCGACAGCAAGCCAAUCCCUUAAAGCCGGCCUCAGUGCGGAUUGGAGGCUGCAACUCGCCUCCAUGAAGCUGGAAUCGCUAGUAAUCGUGGAUCAGCUACGCCACGGUGAAUACGUUCCCGGGCCUUGUACACACCGCCCGUCACGCCAUGGAAGCUGUGAGCGCCCGAAGUCCGUGUCGAAACCCGCAAGGGAUCAAGCGGCCGAAGGCGAGCGCAGUGACUGGGGCGAAGUCGAACAAGGUAGCCGUAGGGGAACCUGCGGCUG